rnacentral:lncRNA from 1 species
CUCAGGGUUAAUCUUCCUCAAAAAAAAAAGAAAAAAAAUAUUGAAUUGGGUUCCUGUCGCUCUCAAAGAGUCCUAAGUUAAGUGAUGCCAUCCUGUAAUGAUAAUCCCAUUGCUUUUGCCUAUUUGCCUAUUUUGGUCACGAGCAUAAUGACUGUGGCUCCCGUUCAAGUCUGAGUUAGGCCCUUUUCCAUAACAAUCUCCAAAGGAAUCCCUUUUAAAUGAGAGUCACAAAAGGAUUAGUUGAAAAGAACCAAAGUAAGUCUAAAAAUUGAAUUUAUCUAAUUGACCACAUAGUCUCUCUCUUUUUAUAUUUAGCAGAGUACUCCUGAUUUCACCACUUCCUGGCUUUAUGACUUUGGAGUAAAAGAAUGUACUGGAGAGUCAAGAUUUUGAAAAAUCAGUAAUUUUUACUGCUUCGUCAAAGAUCUUCCUAAGUAACGGUGGUGAAGAAUGCAACUGUAUUCUGCCCCCCGGUACACAGUUGCAUAUUCUUCGUUGUGGGUGCCUCCAGCUGUGGCACCUGGG